CUUUAUUAUACAAUCAAGAGCGCGCACACUCUACCGUUAUCGUGUCGCUAGAGAGAAAAAUCUAUAAUUCUAUUAUAUUUUCAUAAUGACUACUCUGUGGACGAUUCUAUUUACGGCAUUUGUCUUUAUAGUCGUGAAGAUUGAAGGAGAGUCGAACGAUCGGCCAAUCAUCGGUAUUUUAACACAGGAGAUAGAUUAUAAUUUAAAUAAAAAAUAUCCCAAUCAGUAUCAUAGCUACAUCGCUGCAUCAUAUGUGAAAUUCGUAGAAGGUGCUGGCGCCCGACCUGUUCCGAUCUGGAUUGGCGAGAACGAUUCGUACUAUGAGGAUAUUUUGAGCAAAGUCAACGGAGUUCUCUGGCCAGGAGGUGCGACAUUUUUCUUUCAGAAGGAAGGAUACGCCGAUGCAGGCGCCACAAUUUACAGAAUUGCGAAGGAAAUCAACGACAGAGGCGUGUAUUUCCCAAUAUUUGGCAUCUGCCUUGGCUUCGAACUCUUGACGUAUGUCGCGGCAAAUCGUGUCGAGCAUAGAACGUUGUGCUUCGGCCAGAAUCAAAAUCUUCCGCUAGAAUUUACAGAUGAUUUUACAGAAAGCAAUUUGUUCAAAAACAUCACGCCGGAUGUCUUCAAGAUUUUGAGUGUGGAGAAUGUCACGGCAAAUUAUCAUCAAUUUUGUGUUACGAAGGAGAAUUUACGCAGUGUCAACUUAACCGAUGAAUUUCACGUAUUGUCACUGAAUCACGAUAAAAAAGGCUUGGAAUUCAUCUCCUCGUUGGAGCAUACACAGUAUCCGUUCUACGGAUUACAGUUUCAUCCAGAAAAGAACCUCUACGAGUGGGUGAUCGGCAGGAACAUUCCACAUGGAAUUAAUGCCACUAUAGCAACUCAAUAUUUUGCAAAUUUCUUCAUUAAUGAAGAUUUCUUUUUGGCGCAGCUCGUAAGAAUUCACAGAAAUUUGGGACAAAAGAAGAGGAAAAACAGAGUCUAAUUUACAACUACCCAGUUACUUAUACAGCGUUGCGAAAUUCGAGUUAUCAGCAAUGUUACAUGUUUAAGAAAAACGAUCGCAAUGGCUUCCUCAUAGAAAAUGAUGUAUAAAGUUUAGCGAAUGGAUUCGAUGGAUUUUUACUUGCGUGAGCGCGUGACAGAUGAAAACACAGGAUUUGUUAAUUUUUUUUACGGAAUAUCGUUAGUACGAUGAGACGGCACUGGGAGACACACAAACAAAAGAUUGGUACGCGUUAAUUUCCACAUUUAACAUAACACCAGUGUAUAUUGUGUCACAACUGGGAUACAUAAUAUUACAAUGGUGCAUAAUAAAAUUCUAUACAUAUUUUCGUUCUAUCUAAAGUAAAUAAUAUUUUUUUGAAUCUUUUUUUUUCCCUCACCACGUUUAUUUCGCUCUGAGCCGAAGCACCGGCUGUUAGUAUAUUUGUACGCAUGAUGUUGCGCUGCAAUUUUAAGUGUGACGUAAAAGUCGCAGAGGACGAUGGAAAACGACGGUGCUCAGGACACCGCCGCCGUUACAACGCCGACACUGUUAUACGCGCGAGUUCGCUUCGACCCAAAACGUCGAACGUUUGGAUUCUGACUGCCUGUCAUUAAUCUUCAUUUUUAUCUUUAAACAAGCACGAAACUAAACCUCUUAAAAGCAUGAAUCAACUCUUAGUUUUUAUCCUCGUAACGUAUGAUAGUAUCAUUAUUAAUAAUCAUAAUAAUUCAUAUAAACAUUAUUUCUAUUUUUAUUCCUUGUUACAUGUUCUUCUUAGCAAUGUUGUCGCACGGGAUGUGUAGGUCAAUUGCAGAGGAA
rnacentral:misc_RNA from 1 species